GUUAUCUCUGCUAUCUGGUCCUUUGGUCGGACGGCCGCCACCACGAACAAAAUGUCUUUAAGAUUCCCUGGCUCAUUUGGAAAGACUGACGACAUUAAGAAAAAUUAACUAACCUCAAGAACUGUCUGGUUACCUGAGGUCAACCACAAUCAGGAAGCAGAUGAUCCUUCUAAUAUAUCAUCAAAGGGACAAUAGUGGCCUAAUGCUAUGUCACAAUGCCUGUGUCAUUCACUUCACUUCAUCUCAUCACUAGGCAUUUUAUCCUCUCACAUCAAAAGAAGAAGGGACUUUUCAGUUUCUUUGCUGGUUACAGGAGCGCCAUCUUUUGACAAGAUGUGGAGUUUCAUAAAAGAGGACUUAGGGAACUGAUGACAAACUGGUCAAGGCUUACCUUGUUCUCUUCUUUAUUAAAUGGGUUAUUGUCUAGGGUUAUCAUGUUUUCUAAACUAGAAGAAAGGACUUAUUUUAGUUACAGCUCUUGGUCAAUUGGUGCUUAUUUUGCUAUUAUGAAGAAGAAAGAAAAAUAGGGGCAGAUAAUUAAUUUUUGUAUAUUAGUACUUAAGAUAUAUAUUCAAGAUUGCUUACAAAUAAUUUCUUCCUUAAAUAUGUGAUGUUGAUUUCAUUAAUACCACAUUUCAAAUUUUU